GAUGAACGCUGGCUACAGGCUUAACACAUGCAAGUCGAGGGGAAACGCCGGGGAAGCUUGCUUCCCCGGGCGUCGACCGGCGCACGGGUGAGUAACGCGUAUCCAACCUGCCUCUGACUGAGGGAUAACCCGCCGAAAGUCGGCCUAAUACCUCAUGGUAUCGUCUGCGGGCAUCCAACGACGAUUAAAGAUUUCAUCGGUCAGGGAUGGGGAUGCGUCUGAUUAGCUUGUUGGCGGGGUAACGGCCCACCAAGGCUACGAUCAGUAGGGGUUCUGAGAGGAAGGUCCCCCACAUUGGAACUGGGACACGGUCCAAACUCCUACGGGAGGCAGCAGUGAGGAAUAUUGGUCAAUGGGCGAGAGCCUGAACCAGCCAAGUAGCGUGCAGGAAGGCGGCCCUAGGGGUGGUAAACUGCUUUUAGGCGGGGAUAAAGUGAGGGACGGGUCCCUCAUUGCAGGUACCGCAUGAAUAAGGACCGGCUAAUUCCGUG
rnacentral:rRNA from 1 species